AAGCUGCUGAGCCCGGGCUUCCCGGAGCCGCCGGGUAACGGGUUCAUUCCACGGCUGAGCCUUUUGUUGCUUAGAAAAUGACUCGCUCAUAUUUCCGCGCGUAGCGGCGAUACCUCGGGCUCGGCAUGUGCCGCUCGGCCGAACCGGAGGCGUCCCGGCCCGGCCCCGCGGCCCUCCCUCCCCUUCUCGCCGCCUUUUCCCCACUGGAGGACAACGGCGGAGCGGCUCCGGAGCGGCCGCGGCCGGGAGAGGGGCAGCCCCGGGACGCGGGGCCCGGCGGGCAGAGCGAUAUUCCAGAGCGGGGAUCUCCCACCCGGGGAAAACGCGCCCUAAGGGCGAGGAGUGUUUUCCUCCCUCCUUUGGGGCCGCGGCAAUGGGAUCCCGCGGUGGGGGUGCGGAAGAUGCGCGUUGGGAGCGGGCUGUAGCGGAGCGCGGAUCGCCGGGGGACAUGGCGCAUCCCGGGGUCAGAGCGAAGCGUUCCCGGUCCUAACCACGAAGCGUUUUGGACUUAAAAGAUACAAAGCAGAGGUGUGACGCCCGCGGAAAGCGUGAGCGGCAGUGAGUGUUCAAUGUAGCAGGUGAGGAAGGUAGAACCUUCCCUUCCCAUUGAAAAUGUGGCAUUUCCUCUAUUUUAUUAACUAAGACAACUUCGGUAAUGAGGGAUUCGGUAACGCCGAGUUCGGUAAGCAGUAAGGAAGGGCUCGGUGAGCGAGCCGGGGAUGUACGACUUUACCAAGAUCGCAAAACGAGAGCGCUCUCGAGCUGGAGGCUGGGUGAGACCCCCACGUCCCCGGGGCAAAGCGCCAAUGGCCCAAAGACAAAAAGCCAAAAGCCAAAUGCCAUCGCCGUCCCCUCUCGGGUCCGGGAAUCCCGUGGGCAUCGGGGAACAGAGCAAAUCUCAGCCUGCCUCUGCCGACUUUCAUGAGGUGCUGGCGUUUCGGGGGAAAAUAAUAACAAAAUCCGUCUUCCCGCAGGUUGGUUUGGUGUUUGCAAGCAUGUGUCCUUCUGCUCUUGCUAGGGAAUCAGGAUGGGCGAGGAUCGGGGCUCACGCGGUGCCCGCCGGGCGGAGCUGGGAACAACUUCUCGCAGCCGCGAACCGCCCGUUCCCGCUGCCACCGGCCCUGGGAGCGACUUUCUCGUUAUUCCGACCGCCUUUCGCCCCGGAUUUCUGGGGCAGCCGGAAGGAAUUUGCCUUACCCGCGUUCGGUUUUCCAUCACCCAAAGGGAUGGCGUGAAGAGCCCGGCAAACUCGCCGGAGCCUCCCGAGAGCGCGAAGGGUUAAGGAAAGCCGUUUGUCUGCUCAUUAUCGGUUUCUCUUUACUACUGAGAACCGAACCCGAGCUCCGCUCGUAUCAACGUGUCCUUAAUGCCUUUUCCAGUCAUUGAUCUGGUCAAAGUCACCGCAGAAAUACUAGUGACAGAGACUCAAUUCCAGACAACGUGACCAAUGCAAGUAUUUAGAAGGCAUUCAAUAAAAAAACCUUUCCCGGAGAGCGAACGAUUUCACCUUGCAACAAAGAGCGCUCGGCUAAUUGAAAUAAUGCACUCGGAUGUGCGGCCGGGCUGGAAGCCGGCGGGG